rnacentral:rRNA from 1 species
UGGGGAAUAUUGGACAAUGGGCGAAAGCCUGAUCCAGCCAUGCCGCGUGUGUGAAGAAGGUCUUCGGAUUGUAAAGCACUUUAAGUUGGGAGGAAGGGCAUUAACCUAAUACGUUAGUGUUUUGACGUUACCGACAGAAUAAGCACCGGCUAACUCUGUGCCAGCAGCCGCGGUAAUACAGAGGGUGCAAGCGUUAAUCGGAAUUACUGGGCGUAAAGCGCGCGUAGGUGGUUUGUUAAGUUGGAUGUGAAAUCCCCGGGCUCAACCUGGGAACUGCAUUCAAAACUGACUGACUAGAGUAUGGUAGAGGGUGGUGGGAUUUCCUGUGUAGCGGUGAAAUGCGUAGAUAUAGGAAGGAACACCAGUGGCGAAGGCGACCACCUGGACUAAUACUGACACUGAGGUGCGAAAGCGUGGGGAGCAAACA